rnacentral:rRNA from 1 species
AUACGGAGGGUGCAAGCGUUAUCCGGAUUCAUUGGGUUUAAAGGGUACGUAGGCGGAUAGAUAAGUUAGUGGUGAAAUCCCGAAGCUCAACUUCGGAACUGCCAUUAAAACUGUCUAUCUUGAAUUUGGUUGAAGUGGGCGGAAUAUGACAUGUAGCGGUGAAAUGCAUAGAUAUGUCAUGGAACACCGAUAGUGAAGACAGCUCACUAAGCCAAUAUUGACGCUGAGGUACGAAAGCAUGGGUAGCGAACAGGAUUAGAUACCCUAGUAGUCC